GACGAACCGAGCGAACGUUAUUCGGAAUCACUGGGCUUAAAGGGCGCGCUGAGAGCGGGCCGUCAAGUCAGGGGUGAAAGCCCCCAGCUCAACUGGGGAAGUGCCUCUGAUACUGGCGGCCUCGAGGGAGGUAGGGCGUGCGGAACUUCCGGUGGAGCGGUGAAAUGCGUAGAUAUCGGAAGGAACACCGGUGGCGAAAGCGGCGCGCUGGACCUCUUCUGACGCUGUGGCGCGAA
rnacentral:rRNA from 1 species